UUUGUGGAGGGUUCGAUUCUGGCUCAGGAUGAACGCUGGCGGCGUGCUUAACACAUGCAAGUCGAACGGGAUCCACCAGCUUGCUGGUG
rnacentral:rRNA from 1 species